rnacentral:rRNA from 1 species
UACGUAGGGGCCGAGCGUUGUCCGGAUUUACUGGGCGUAAAGCGCGCGCAGGCGGCCCUUUAAGUCUACCCGUGAAAUGCCGGAGCUCAACUCCGUGCACGCCGGGGGAUACUGGAGGGCUGGAGACGAGUAGAGGCAAGCGGAAUUCCGGGUGUAGCGGUGGAAUGCGUAGAGAUCCGGAAGAACACCGGAGGCGAAGGCGGCUUGCUGGGCUUGGUCUGACGCUGAGGCGCGAAAGCGUGGGGAGCGAACAGG